ACUUAGCCUCACGUUAGGUGAACCACUAUAGUUCUCAUUUUUGGUUUGAAUCUUCUUUCCUUUAACUUUUAUAUUUUUGCAUCAACUUUUGUUAUUAUUAUUAUUUUUUUGUAACUGAGGUCGGAAAUUUGUAUCUUAAAAUGCUCUGUAAUUUAUAUUUAUAUAAAAUCAAGUAUGUUCUAAUUACUUUGUAAACGUUAUCAUGGGUGUGCAACGAGUUUUUAUAUCCUAUAAACAUCAACACCACUUUCCCAAGGGUGCACUACAUUUCACAAGUGUUUAUAUUACUUAAACGUUCCUUUGAAAAGGGAUUUUCAAUUAUAUUAUUGUAUGAUUUUGAGUAAUAACCCUAUUCUUUUUUUCAGUAGACUUUAAAAGGUCAAUACAUAUUUAUGAUUUGCAUCCCAUACUGACAUACUCCCAUGCAUGUACUAAGAACUAAGAAGUAAACAUGUUCUAAUAAAUCAAUACAUUUAAAAACAACAUCUAGCGUUUGUAGUCCAACGGUUAGGAUAAUUGCCUUCCAAGCAAUAGACCCGGGUUCGACUCCCGGCAAACGCAAUUUUUUUGAUCAGUUAAAUCACAAAAUAGACCGCUAAAAUUCCAAUUUCAACCUUCUCGUUUGCCGCGAUAAUUCCAGAACCCUCCAAAACUCAUUUUUCUCGUCUUCCUCGAAAAAUCAUAUUCCCUUGCUGCAUUUCAAUUCGGUUUCAUGAACUCCCUACAGAAUGGCGUUGGAAGCCUUUUUGUUCUCCCUCCCUCCCUCUCUUAAUUCGGCUACAACCGGACAGUUAUAAAAGUUUAUUGUUUCAAGUUCAGCGGAUGGCCGCGCGAAGGCGAAUGCGUGACCAUACACUUUCUCAAUUGAUGAUUAUGAUUUCUGGGAACUCUGAUGUUUAAACUAUUCUGAAAACAAAUUGUAAUAAUUGAAUGGUUUUAAAUGAUUUAAAAAGUUUUAAAUUGGCUCGAAUUUUAUGGAUGUUACAAAUACACAUGUCAACAUUUAGCAUGGAUGGAAGGAUGAGUAUGAAUAAAAUAUAUGAGGAUAUUUAAUUUUUCUUCU